UACAGAGGGGGCGAGCGUUGUCCGGAAUCACUGGGCGUAAAGGGCGCGUAGGUGGUGGCUUAAGCGUGCGGUGAAAGCUCGGGGCUCAACUCCGAGUCGGCCGUGCGAACUGGGCUCACUGGAGCAUAGUAGAGGCAGGUGGAAUUCCGGGUGUAGCGGUGGAAUGCGUAGAGAUCCGGAAGAACACCGGUGGCGAAGGCGGCCUGCUGGGCUAUGGCUGACACUGAGGCGCGACAGCGUGGGGAGCAAACAGG
rnacentral:rRNA from 1 species